rnacentral:rRNA from 1 species
UACAGAGGGUGCAAGCGUUGCUCGGAAUCAUUGGGCGUAAAGCGCACGUAGGCGGUCUGUUAUGUCGGAUGUGAAAGCCCUUGGCUCAACUGAGGAAGUGCAUCCGAAACUGGCAGGCUAGAGUACUAAAGAGGAUCGCGGAAUUCCCGGUGUAGAGGUGAAAUUCGUAGAUAUCGGGAGGAACACCGGUGGCGAAGGCGGCGAUCUGGGUAGAUACUGACGCUGAGGUGCGAAAGCGUGGGGAGCAAACAGG